AUGUACCCCCCCCCCCNCCCGUCCACUGCGGUUCUGAGCGCGCCGUCCGCGCCCACCUGACAGCUGCUCGCGACGUUGUGUUAACC
rnacentral:sRNA from 1 species